UUGAGUCUGUAUCUGCAAAGCAACUGAGGAAUGCCAUGGAUUCAGCAGACUGUAACAAAAGGUCCAGAAAUGCAAGAUGUCCUGGCAAAGGGAGGAGGACCUCUGCGUGGGGCUUGGAAGAGUGAGGAGUCAGCAGGUUCUCAGUGUUCAGGUUUGGUGUGUGGUUUGAUCCCAUUUCUUCUCUCAAAUUAUAUGUCUUUCGGUGUGAAGGAGAGGGCCCGUCUACAGGCAUUGUGUGUGAGCAGAAUUUUUAUAGUCUGCCUUCUCAUGAUGAUCUAUUUUUCCUAGAAUGUUGAAGAAAAAUAGAUAAGCUUCCAUCUCCCCUCAUGCUACUAUCCUCCUCACACCUGGCUUGUCAUUCUGGCUUCUUCAGUUCAUUUGCUGUGUCUCUGUACCUCAGGACCUUUGGAUAUGCCAUUCUUUCUCCCUGGCUUGCCCUCCCCACCUUUCUUUCAAUGACUGUUUUUUCCUGUCCUUCAAGUCUUGGUUUAGAUGUCAUCUCCUCGGAAAGGCCUUGCCUACCACACUAUCUAAAGUAGAUUCUACUCCCCCCACUCAUACUGCAGCACUCCUUUUGGUGGACUCACGGCAUUUAUAAGAAUUUCAUUAUUUGUUUACUCGAUUAUUGUGCAUCUCUGGUUAUAAAGUAAAUUCCAUGAGGCAGCACUCAUGGCUCUUGCGCAUGUUUGUAGUCCUCUAACUCAGCACAGUUUCUGACAUAUGGUACACUCAAUGAAUAUUUGUUGAAUAAGAGAAUAAAGAAACUCAUUUUGGGUGACA
rnacentral:lncRNA from 1 species